CUUCAGCCAACUGGAGCUGGCUGGCAGCAAGCUGCUGAAUACAAGCUGCUGCUUAUUUGCAACAACAGCAGCCUACUGGGUAGCACUGCUAUUUGUUAGUAUAGUGGCUUGAAAGUACUGCCAGGUAGGAACUUCUGAGUGUUUAAUCCUAAAUCCCAUUUCCAGCCGGUAUUCUGUGACAUUCUUAAGAUUACUGAAAGCCAAAAGACUAGCUAAGUAGUUUGGGAUAUGAUCCUGCAAUGAGGAAUGCAAAAUGAAUAAGAUUUGCUUCUGUCUACCUAGUGGGAGAAGAGGCUAACAUCUCUCCCUUCACCUCCUCAGGAAGUUGUAGAAGAUGAAGAUUUCAUUCCUCAUGCCAGCAGCAGAAGGAGCUGUGAAAUUUUUCCUACCAGUGCCCUACACUUGGUGACAGAGUUUUCCUACUCAGCAUAGGCCAGCACAGCAGACUGUCGGAAAAAUCUUAGUUUCACAUUGACUUAUGAAUGGCAAAAGCAAUUUGGAGCUGAUUUUCAAGAAAUGUUUCAGUGCCACUUCCCCCACAUAGCGAGACUUACUACCUGUUCAAAGAAUGUGAAGAGGGGAAAAGAGUUGAGGUUUCCAUAGCAACCUUUAGUAGUCCAAAGUAAAAUUGCAUAAAAUGAAAUCAUUAUCACUCAGCAACUAAAGAAGACAGCUCAGCUGAUGAAGAUCCAAGUUGUAAAUGACUGCUGGAACAAUACCAAAUGGAGACCAGCACAGUUUUGACCCAGCUACUGGAAGCCAGACCUUGGAGCAAGAAAAAUAACUCCAGGUCUAGGCAGAAAUAAGCAAGGCUGCAAGAAAAUCAAACCCAGCAGCUGUCCCUGGCUUGGUUCGGAGGGAGGCCACAGCUCGCAGGCCCAUCUGCUGAGGCCAGGUUUGCACAGAUUCGCCUACAACCAAAGGGGGAAGGAGAGAUGUGGGAGAACUGAAGUUGCUUUCUGCUUCUCUGAUAUAACCAGAAGAAGGAACAUAAGGAAUGUCUUUUUUUUUUUCCUUCAAAAGUAAUCAAUCUUUCUUUGAGAACAUAGAAGGUUACAUAAAGAAUGACUGCUGUGGAAGGAGAAUACAGAGAAGAAAUUAACAAGCUGUGCAGUCCUGGCCAAUCAUCAUCUAAGAAGAUUACCAGGACCUAGGAAAAUGCAUUGGACCUCAGCGUUCUUUCUGUGGAUGAGGAAGAUGUGAUCAACAGUUUCUUAAACUAAGAUAAAGUGAUAUCUUUUUAAUAGAUGUAGAGCUAAAUUGACACACUGUAUUUUGUAAAGCUAUCCCACAGGAGACAGGUUGUGCUACUAUAUCUGCAAUUUGUAUGUGUGUUAUGGUGAGGCGGAGCACCUAUUUGUUGCUACUGUAGGAUUUCUUUGACCAGUUUCUGAAGAAAGUAACCAGAGAGUACACCCAAAAUAUUUUCCCAGACUAUUGAUUCUGUAAGUGACGGAAUUCCUCCAGCAGUAUGAUCGGGAGAACAUUCCAGAUCGUGUAUGCUCUAGCAGAAUUGACAAAAGGAGUAUCUUUGAAGGAACUGAGGAAUGGGAGAGCCUCAUACCUUUUCCAGAGUGUUGACUCCCUUGUAGGUGGCAUGCUGAAAGAAUAAUUAGAGUAUACUGCAUACAAUUUGUCAUGAAAUGCAAGAAAUUUCUCAUAUCAUUAUCCUCUUUGUUUUCAAGGUUAUUACUGAGCAAAGAGUAAAUAGGCAUGAAUAGAGGCAAAUUAAGUAAAUCUUCAAAAUUGCAAAGGUUAAAUCUCUGCAGUGUUCAAAAGUUUUUAGUAUAAAGUAAUUAAAUUUGAAACUAAUUUAUACAAUCAAAGUGAGUGAAAAAUUUUAACUGUGAAAUAUAGUUAUGUCAUAUUAAAAAUCACAACUACGUACUGUAUGUGAGAGGCUGAAAUAUCAAAGGCUAAUGAUGUAAAAAAAAUGGCUAUUUGCAAAAGCAGCAGCUACUUUGCUGAGGCCAGGUUUGCACACCCAAACUGAAGGGGAGGAGGAGAGGUUUGGCUGUGUGGUGGUAAAAAUUUCUGAUCCACAUGAAACAAAGGGGGUCAGCACCCACUACCAGAGGAUGAGCAUGGUGAACUCAUUUUUUAUAUACAAAAUUAUUGAUCCCAGAAUUAUUGUGUACCUGAUAGCCUGGGAUUAAUAUCUUAAACAAACUGUUUUCUGGUCAGAUAAGGAAAAAUAUCAAUAAGAUGCUGAUCCUGCAGAGGUGGCAUGAUGCUUCUAUCAUGCCAUUUCGACUCUGAUAGGCACUGCUGGCUCAACUGAAGUGAGAGAAGCAGAGCCAAAUAGCAGUCAUGUCACUGAAAAGGGCUAUAAACCAUCAGAGACCCCUGAAGCACACCCAGUCUCAUUUCUGGGGCCUUCCACUGUAGUAUUUAGCACAAUCUACAGGGUUGUAAAAGGCAGUGUAAACAUUUAUCUGCUCGGGGAGGUACCUGAGCAUUUCCACACAAACCCGAAUGUCGGUCAAACCAUUGAAUUUUGUGUUUCAUGGGAUUCCCCUACCCACAAUGGAUAAAGAUUGUACCCGUUGCUUCAGUCAAUGGGCAUCAAAAUUGUCACAUUUGAGUCUCGUCACUGCAUCCAUGGGUGGUGAUCUUCCUCUCCACUAUCUACUUUUAUCCUUUCUUUCUCUUUUUUUCUUUGCCCUAUGUAUUUUCUUAAGCAAUAUUUUUAUACUUCUGUGUUGCUAUAUUUCUAUAGUUAAUAACUAAAACAGUUACAUACCUGCUUUCCAUUUCAAUCAAAUUGUUCUGAAAUAAAAGUGUCAUAUAUAAAUAUAUGAAAACACAGGUCUGUCAGUGUUGUUUCACUCUAUUUUUCCCCAAGUGAUCUAUUAGCAAGAACUUCAGUUACCCUUGCCUUCAGGUGCAGGUCACAACACCAUGUAGAUUGUAAAGAAAAAAUUCCAACACAUAACUCCCACAGAAGUUAUAAGUAUGUUGGCCCAGUGGAGAUAUCAUUUCACAAAAUGAUUGUGGAACUAAAUUUCUGUGGAAUCUUCAUUUCUCAGGCUACUCAAAAUGCUGGUGUACAACACCCAGAGCAACCUCAUCUAGCUCUGAAAUUGCACACAUAUCAAGUAGGAAGUUAAGAUGGAAAAACUCAUUGACUUCCCUGUAAACAAUUUUCCCCCUGUUUUUCUACAGGUCUUCAGAACACACUCAUUCCAAAAUAAAUGGUAUGGGGAUCCAUGCAUAAAAAGAUAAUCAGUAGGA